rnacentral:lncRNA from 1 species
CUGGCUUUCGUAUGUUAACAGGUUCUGAAAGCAUCUGGGACACACUUGUUCCAUUUUAACCAGCACGGGUCGUCCGUCUGCUUUUAUUUUUGUCUUUCUCUUCCUUCCUCCCUUCGUCCUCUCUUCCCUCCCGUGGUCUUCUGUGUUUGCUUUAGCAGUGUGGCUUACCUUGCCACUUGGCAAGAAAAAAAAGGCAGCUCUUGUGUGGGGUAGAUGGAGGGAAGGAUAAGAAAUAAUCCACCGCCCGAAUUUGAGUUCCCUGGGUUCAGUUCCAGCGGCAGCAGCUUUGCUGCAAAAAUUGCUUUGCUGUUCGAGAUAGCCAGCAGAGGGAAUCAGGACUUUGCUUGCAGCAGGGGUUGAAGCAGGCUUUUUUUUUUUUUUCUUGGAGGAAAUACUGCAGCUUUCUGGACUGCAUACCCUGCUCCCUGGAGAGGUUCCACCCACCGGCUGGAAGGAGAGGAAGUGAAUGAAAGGACAGGAGGAGCCCGAACACCAUGUCACUCUGGAAGGGAGACAGCAGCAACCAGGCUGUGCAAGUGAGUGGUGGAAGACGAAGGAUCUCUGAAGCCUCAUCAGUCAUCGGGACCAUCAGGAAUAGUGGUUUAAGAGGACGCUCGGCCUGGGGCACCAUAUGUCAUCGAGUUCCCUGCCUCGGAGAUAAAGAUUCCAGCUACAUGGGUAAACGCCUGGAUCAGCCACAAAUGUACCCCCAGUACACUUACUACUAUCCUCACUGUCUCUAAACCAAGGUAUGGCUCGACCCACAGUCUGGCAAGCAGUGUGUAUCCUGCACUUGGGAUGGGAAACAGGCAUGUGGAUUAUUAUUUACCUCCCCUUUCCCAUCACCUCUUCCUGCUUCUUUGAAAUUAGUAACAUAGCAAUGGAGUUAAUGAGGCAGAGGAGAAUAUGAGAAGAAAGCAAGCCCUGGGAUUGUGGUUUUUCUCUUCUAGCAGAGAUAAUAGUUUCGCUCGUGUUCCUUUGUUGUUAUUUGGCAACAUAAAGAUGUUCCUGAUAUCCGUAGUAAAGUGCUUUGCAGAUGGACAGGGUUGUUAGAAAGGAGAUUGUGACAGUGAUUAUCAGGAACAACAACGAUUUCAGAGGCUUUUCUGGUGAGCUGUUCUUUGUGGCUCUGAAAGGGUUUUUCUCACUGGAUAGGAUGCACCAGGGUGGGGGCAACUCAGACUUUCAAUCACAGAGUAUAGAAUGAAAGAAGGGUGUGGGAAGGUAUAGUACGACUAACUGACGUCCCGUAGAGUUUGUUUGGGUGUGCUUUUGUUUUUGUGUAUUUGCCUUACAUAUUUUAUUUUAUAUGGAGGGUGAUCAAGACUCUAGAGACUGAAGUUUGGAGCUUUACAAUAGAUGUUCUUUACUUUUCGAAGCUCUGUUUUCUGUGCUGGCUGCCAUCAGGAGGCCUGUGGGUCUUGAAACGGGAUGAAAUAUAACUGAUGAUAAUUGGACACGAAUUGGUUAAAUACUUUAGUCUUGGGAUCCCUGGGUGGCGCAGUGGUUUGGCGCCUGCCUUUGGCCCAGGGCGUGAUCCUGGAGACCUGGGAUCGAAUCCCACGUCGGGCUCCCGGUGCAUGGAGCCUGCUUCUCCCUCUGCCUAUGUCUCUGCCUCUCUCUCUGUGUGUGACUAUC